rnacentral:rRNA from 1 species
AGUCGAGCGGUAACAGGUGUAGCAAUACAUGCUGACGAGCGGCGAACGGGUGAGUAAUGCUUCGGAAUCUGCCCAAUGGUGGGGAAUAACCAGCCGAAAGGUUGGCUAAUACCGCAUAAGUCCUACGGGGGAAAGCAGGGGAUCGCAAGACCUUGCGCCGAUGGAUGAGCCGAAGUCGGAUUAGCUAGUUGGUAGGGUAACGGCCUACCAAGGCGACGAUCCGUAGCUGGUCUGAGAGGACGACCAGCCACACUGGGACUGAGACACGGCCCAGACUCCUACGGGAGGCAGCAGUGGGGAAUAUUGGACAAUGGGGGAAACCCUGAUCCAGCGACGCCGCGUGUGUGAAGAAGGCCUGCGGGUUGUAAAGCACUUUUAGUGGGGAUGAAAAGCUCAGGGCUAAUACCUCUGGGUCUUGACCUAACCCAAAGAAAAAGCACCGGCUAACUCUGUGCCAGCAGCCGCGGUAAUACAGAGGGUGCGAGCGUUAAUCGGAAUUACUGGGCGUAAAGCGUGCGUAGACGGUUAUGUAAGUCGGGUGUGAAAGCCCCGGGCUCAACCUGGGAAUUGCAUUCGAGACUGC